GGAAUGUGACCUGAGUGUUUAAACUCUUCCUUCUCAUCAGUCUCACUUCAGACUCACAGGCGGCACUGAGAAGGAUGAAUUUCUUCUGAAUUUCUUUCACUCCUAACAUUUUUUUACAUCACGCAGACAAACUGAAAAAGCUGUGAAUAAUUGCCGAAACCACAAGCGCAGUCAGCUACUUCUAUCAUGGAUUAUACCGCCUAUCUCGGCCACUGCCUGCUGUUUUUCUUCAUCGCCGUCUUCCUGGAUGCAGCAGGCCUCAUCCUCUUCUUCAUUGGGGUCGCGGCUCCUCUGAGCUACUGGGAUUUCUUUGUGUUCUCAGGACCCCUCAUUAUCUUCCUUAGCCUGGUUUUCUGGAUCUUCUGGUACCUAGGAAACCUGGAGGUGCCGACGGAGGAGUUGCUCCCCAAAUGAGAUUCAUGGCUUCUUCAUUUGCAGCACAAAGGAGUUUUCUGGCUACUGGAGCUUGAAAAUGAAACCAGAGUUACAGCUACAGGGAAGACUUUGGACUUUACUCUGAAGAGACAAAUACAAGAGAUUUAAUCUGAAAGGACAUUUUUUUUUAUCCUUUUUGAAUUGUGCCAUGAAGUUACCUCACUAACACCAGUGCAAUUAUCAACAUGGCGCCAGCAUUCGGUACUCUUGAAAGUUUCAGUCUUAAAACAAGAUUAGUGCAUCUGCAUGAUUCAUUUUUAUGCAAUGUGCAGAUCUGUACAGAUACCAAAUAUAACGAUUAGCAUUCAGCUGUUAAUAACGUGGAACUUGAUAAAUUAAUUGCUGUUCAUCAGUUUUAGAGUAGAUAUCUAAAUACCUGUUUAAACAGUACUAGUAAAGGUACACAGUGAUAAUGAACCCUGACAUGACAUCUCAGGCCUGCCUGGCCAUGACGAUAGCAUUCUGUAAGCUGUUUCUCUAAUGAGAUACAUUUUGUUGAUUUCAUCAGAUUAUGCAGACUUUUUAACUCACAUCUCAUGCUAACUUCAAAAUCAGGACCAGGAUCUUAUACAUACAUGAAUAUACGUACAUUUCCACUACAUUUACAUCUCAGUGACACAGUUGAGCAAGCUUUUAUUUAUUUAUAGUGUUUAUCAACGUCCUUCUAAGGCCAUUGUUCCCGAUCAUUCUCUGAAGUGAUUUUUCUGUUGUGAAAUCUGAGUAUUGGUCGGUCAACCCAUUCAGUGGGAACCAGUCAAACUGGGUCCAUUAGCUACUGGAGCACAGAGAGCUCUCAUAUUACAAUAAUGAGAUUGUGUGAGGAGGAAGAGAGACAUUUUCCCCCCAUCAAUGAAAUAUGACAACAAUAUAUAAAUAUGUAACUUUUGGAACUUUUUGUGUUUAAGUAAGAAUAUGUGCCCCUGUAAUCACUUCAUCAAGUAUGUGGCGCAGCUUGUUUCCCUGUUACUAAAGAGUUAUGGUUAGACACACCCUGUUUACAGUGUGGCUGUUACUUAAGCUUAACACCAGAAUAUUCCUCAAGCUUAAUAACACUAGCCACAAGAACAGAGUUUCAACAACAAGACAAGCAAGGAGACAAAAGAGAACACAAAAGCAACAAAGCAUUUUUUAAGAAAACAGAUUUUCAGAUACAAGUGAUUUAGAUGAUAUGUUUGAUGUGUCAAAUGUCUUUCUACGUCUAUAUUUACUCUGCUAUUCACUUUUUUCAAAAGCUGCAAUGUUUUCAAGGAGUUGGUCCACACAGCCAUUUAGCCUUGCACAAGGCGAGUGUUUGGAAAUGUGUCAGGCAUGCAUUACUAAUUCAUAACUGCACCCAAACUGCUCAAACAGCUCUGUGAGAAUUACUUGGAGCUGAUUCCGAUGUGUCACAGUCCCUCCGUCUCUGGGGCUUCAGGUUCCACCUCACACCUAACGUGUCUUUCCAUUAGCUUUUGCCAGCGUGCGCACACAAACACACUCCCACUCCUGCCCUGGGUCACCUGAACAUGACACUGUUUGACUCAACGCCGUGGUGACAAAGGGGACAUGGAUCAAGUUCUGCAGGGCCUGUCAGUGUAGUGUUUGGUUCCUGUGGCUCCUGCCAGCACUUCACACACACAGCAGGACUGUGUCGGCAUUUGAUGUGAUGGAGCUUCAGAGUAAAGUGUAGCGGUAGAGGAGUAAAACCUGCUACAUCACAGCAAAAAUAAAUAAAUAAAAAAUGUAAAUAAAUAAAAUGUAUGUAUUUAUUUUAUUUAAAUUUGCUGGCCUACUUCAGAAAAAGAUUUUACAUAAGAUAUAACCUAUUUUCAAUAAUAAUAAUAAUAAUAAUAUAGGAUCAAUUAUUAAUCGAAUUAUAAUUAUUAUAAAUGUAAUUAUAUAAUAUAUUAUCAUAAGAAAAUUUACAUAAAGUAACAAAAGUAAAAGCACUCAUUAUACAGAAAGACUUUUAUACUCUGUAAGCAACGUUUAAGUGUUGUGAAGUACUUGUACUUGUACUUAAGUACGAUUUUGAGGUACCUGUAAUUGACUCCAAUUAUUUAGACUUCUUCUCAAAUGGAAAUAAUGUAAUUCACUACAUUUACCUGACAGCUUUAGUUAACUAUUUACUUUUCAGAUCAAGAGUUUACAAUGAAAAAAAAUAUUAGCCUUAGACAAUAUAAUGCAUUGUCAUACAUUAAAGCAGCUGUCUGGCUUGGGAUACCAGAGUACUGUCUUGUCGGGGCCCUUGCCAUGGUUCUCAUGUUAAUGAGUUGCAGUUGCACAAAUAACCAAGCAAACAUUAGUAAGUCCAAAAAAGAAAUACAAAUUUAUAAUGCAGUAAUUUGACUGAGUUGUGGAGUAGAGGUAUAAAACACAAUAGAAAUAUACAAGUACCUCAAAGCUCAAAACACUAAAUUACUUUCUACCACUGGUAAAGUCUCCUUGGUUCUUCUCGCCCACAUGGGGCAGGUAUCACACAUUCAAAAGGAUGUUGCCAGGCACAUUGUGAUCAAUAAUACAAAUUCACAGAUUUUUUCCACUUUUAUCAAAUAUCAAGUAUCUUCCAGUCAUGUCACCCUUUAUGUUCCGCCCAUAUCACAGCCACAUAAAUCUAGUCUGUCCCACUGACCGUCCAAGUUCAAGAUCAUUACAGGCUUUGUUUACGAACGUAAUUAUCCCACUUUCACUUGCACUGAAUGCAUGUGCCCUAAUGAGGUGCUAACUUGCCUAAAAGAAUGUCUCAUCAGUCUGGUUUCAGUGGGGACUUACUGUGUACCAAGAGAUUAGAGAGCUGUUUUAGAGACUUCUCACCAGGGCAACAAGCACUGAGCAACAGCACAAGGCUAACUUUAAUGGGUGAGAAUGUAUCAAUUAUUUAAACUUACAAGGUACAUCAAUAAGUGGAUAAAUAUUAAGUAUUAAGGCACCUCAGUUAUAUCAGGCAUGAAUUAAUCUUUGUUCAUUCGGGGUGGUUGUUUUGAGAUCAUUCUGUCUGGGGGUAAUAUUUUAACCUGUGAAUAAAAUCAGUCUCAUGGUGUAGUUAUACAAGCUUCAGCAGGAGAUUGGAGGUCUACGUGGAUCCAAAAAGACCUCUGAUUUUUCUGCUUAUCCUCAUGUGCUGUGUAUUCCUUGUGGUUUUAAAUAUGUAUUAUUUCUGUUAAUGGUUGUCAGAUGUAAUGUUUUCUGAAAUGUAAUGGAAUAUUUUCCCAGAGCAAUGACAUUUUUCAAAAUACUCCUUCCACUUUUCAGGGGCGGGUUUGGAAAUUGUUGAAUGAUUUUUAGAUAGUGUGCAGAUCUGCUGCAUUGGUGUCUAACAUAACAAUACAGCCCCAGAAUUUUUCAUUUAUUUAUGUAUUAAACAAAUUUAAUUCA